GUGGGGGAUCUCGCCAAUCCCUGUGACCCGCAAGGCGUAAUGCGGGCACCAGUAACUCCUACCCCAUGGUGUCUCCUAUCUGUAGGUCCCAGUGGAGCUAUGAAGGCUGCCCAGCGGGGCUUGGCGGUCAUGGGCUUCCUCUCCGGAGGGAGGGGAAGUACCACGAUAGCUGGGGGAAUCGGCGAGGCCCGGAAGGGAGCAGCCGUGCCCGGACGCCAGCGUUCGCUGGUCAACAGCCAGAGUGAAACUGGGGCAAGCCUAUAGAUAGGUAGGCCAUGGAGUAGGGGG
rnacentral:SRP_RNA from 1 species